AAGAAAGAAGAAGAAAUAAGAGAAAAGGAAAAGGAAAAAAGGAACAAAGGAAAAAGUGAAAUAAGACUUACUUGUUUCCCGCCU
rnacentral:ribozyme from 13 species